UGGUUUUUGAUGAAUGACCCAAGCAACUCCACCCAAAUGGCCCAGUUCUUUGGUGAGGACUCCUCUCUCCUCCUCUACCUCCUCCACCUGUUAGUCAGCAAACAAUUGAGCUGCGCAAAACACAGGCUGCCUGGGUUGUCAAGUUCACCUGUCUCCCAGGGGCUCCUCCCGAAUCUUCUUAACCGGUAUUUCCUGAAUGAAGUUAAGAUCAUACAGGCCAGGAGCCAAGUAGUUCUGCGGGACAGGGUGGGGUAGAAAGCUUCGGUGAAGCUUUGAAGUAUCUCGGCUACUCAAGAGCCAAUGAUAAUUACUCGUCUCCAUCAGGCUGAAGAACACAUUUCGGCUAUUUCUAUUUCCUUUCGUUAGCUUGCCCCCUCUUUAUCUGAUGACUCCUAGCCAUGAAGUCCAAGGGAACACCAGAGGGAUAAUGUCUGCAGAGAUUCUAAGACCAGCUUGCCCCUCUAUGCUCCACAACAGUGUCUCAGAAACUUCUUCCAGAGCACCAGCUAUCUCAUCUCUACCAUGGGGAUAAUCACAGCAUCUGCCUGGACAGGUUGUUUUGAGUAUUAAAUAAAAUAAUGGGCAUAAGGUUAUAAACACAUGGCAGGUAUCAUAUGCACCUAAUAAAUACUAUUAUUAUUAUU